UACGAAGGGGGCUAGCGUUGCUCGGAAUUACUGGGCGUAAAGCGCACGUAGGCGGCUCUUUAAGUCGGGGGUGAAAUCCUGGAGCUCAACUCCAGAACUGCCUUCGAUACUGUAGAGCUUGAGUCCGGGAGAGGUGAGUGGAACUGCGAGUGUAGAGGUGAAAUUCGUAGAUAUUCGCAAGAACACCAGUGGCGAGGGCGGCUCACUGGCCCGGUACUGACGCUGAGGUGCGAAAGCGUGGGGAGCAAACAGG
rnacentral:rRNA from 1 species